CACUCUUCUCUUUCUCUCAAUCUCUCAAUUAUAGUUACUUUGCAACAAUUAGCCACUUUAAAUUUCUCUCAAUUAAAUAUUAUAAAGUCUUAUUAUAGUUUCAAUUAUUAAUUUUGCAAUUAUAAUAUUGUUGGUGGAGUUGGUGAUUUUACAACAAUCCGAAGUAGCUUUGGUGGAUUUGCAAUUCUAGCCGCCUUCACUUUGUUGGAAAUUAGUCCAGCAAUUUGGUACCUUCGUUCCAACUCUAUCUUUAUUUUUCGCAAUUUAAUUUACGCAAUUUAAUUUGUUGCAAUUUAUUUUCUUGUGAUUUAAAUUAAUUAUAUUUAAUAAUGACGAAGAGAUUUAGACGUGGUGCUGGUAGUAGUGGUAUUGUUAGGGGUGGGUUUAAUGAGGAAACAUUUGUGGAAGAAACACCUAAUUUAGGUAUUGAUGUUGGUGAAAAUAAUUCACUUUUAGAUCAUGAGGCAAUGCAACAACAUUAUACCGACACUUUUAAUGAAAUUGAUGAUGAUGAUGAUGAAACACAAGCCCCCGAAAAUCCCAUAGGAGAUACAUGUCCUGCACAAUCACAUACACAAGACAAACUGCCUUGAACUCGUAAGCCAACCGCUAAAAUUUGGAAACAUAUGACUAAGAAUAAGGAAAGCCAAACAGCUAAAUGUAACAUAUGUGGACAAGUAUUUGUUUUUAGACAAGGAACUAGUAAGGAUGGUGGAACGGGUACACUAAAUGGUCAUAUGAGAAAGAAACAUAUGAAUGUUUGGGGAGAGCAAACGGGUUCAAAUGUGGGGGUAUUCAAAUGACGAUAGACCCACGAACCGGUAAAAAUUUUAAGUAUGACAAGAAAAAAGAGCAUGUAGAAAUAGCUAAAAUGGUAGCUUAUGAUUGUUUACCAUUUUCCUUUCCUUCGGGUUUGGGGUUUGUUACUUACAUUCAACGUUGUUAUAAUCCGUUAUUUGAGGGUAUUCCUAGAAGUACUUGUAGAGCGGAUGUUAUAGAUUUGUAUAAAAAAUAUAGAUUUUAUUUGCGCCAUGUAUUUAAUUCUUUAAAUUGUAAUGUUUUUCUUACCGCUGAUUUGGGUCUUAGUCUUAACAAGUUAGAUUUUGUUGCUAUUACAUGUCAUUGGGUUGAUGAUAAUUGGGUUAUGCAAAAAAGAAUUAUAGCUUUUUUAUAUGAUGAAGGGAAAGGUCGUCACGAUGAAAAAAAUUUAGCGGAUUCAAUGUCUACUAUUAUGAGAUUUUUUAACAUUUAUAGAAAAACACUUUGUAUUGCUUUAGAUAAUGCUUCUAAUAAUAUAAAGGCGAUUGGUCUUUUAAAAAGAGAAUUAAACCCUCCGCUAAAAAAUAUUUUUCAUGUGAGAUGUAGUUGUCACAUUUUAAACUUAAUUGUUAAAGAUGGCCUUGUGUGUUUUGACGAUUCUAUUCAAAAAGUUAGAGAGGCGGUUGCGUUUCUUUUUUGUAAUGCUAAUAGGGGAAGAUCGAGAGAUUUUAAGAAUUGUUGUGUGGAAAAUAACCUUAGACCUAGGAAAAUUCAAGUAGAAAUUGAGACUAGGUGGAACUACACUUACAUUAUGCUACAAUAAGCAUAUGAGUAUAGGAUUCCCAUACAACAAGUUCACAACAAAUAUAAUAUUAAUAAUGAUGAUUGGUUAAAUUUUACGCAUUGGGAAGAUGUUAAGGAAUGUGUUGAACUCUUAGAAAAUUUUUAUAAUGCAACUCUUGCUUUUUUUAAAUAAUUCUAUCCCACGGUAAUCGAAAUUUUAGCCUACUUAGCGGAAAUAGCUAGAGUUUUACAAGAGUAUAAACAUAAACCCGGUUAUCAAGCGGCUAUUUUUUAUAUGACAACAAAAUUUAAGAAGUAUUUUUUUUCAUCCCAACUUUAUUUAUAUUGGGUUCUCUUUUAAAUCCUUGUUUAAAAGUGUCUUAUACUAAAGCAUUGGUUAAUCAAAUUUAUACAUUUUUAGAAAUUGAAGAGGGAGUUGAACCAUCUUUAGCUGAAGCCGACCUCGCUAUUGAUGCCGAGUUUAGAAAAGUUUUUAGUCAUUAUUCUAAUUUGGAAGAACAUGCUACACCCGUUGCUCCACGCCCUACUACUUCUCAAAGUAGCAAAAAGGGCUUGUCGGGUUUGUCGCAUUUAAAAGUUUUACAUUCACAUCCAACUCCUUCUUGUAAUGCAAACUUUGAUGAAUAUCACUUUUAUUUGAUGCAGCCAAAUGUGGAUAUCAAGGAACUAGAUGAUUUGGACGUCUUAGCAUGGUGGAAGAAAUAUAAGGCAAGUCAUACGAUACUCUCAAGAAUGGUUCGAGAUAUCCUUACGGUUCAAGUAUCAACCGUGGCUUCGGAGAUGUGCAUUCGCAAUUGGAUUAGAUCGGAGUGACGCAACCAAAACUUAGAAGCGGUGGAAGGCGAAGAGGAAGAGAUUGAAGAUUUGAUAGCAAGUGGAGCAGACCAAAUGGAAGACUUUGAAGAUAUCUCCAUGGCCGAAUAUGAUAUGAGGGAAAUUAACCAAAUGAUUGAGAAUUGGUGAUUUUAUUAUUCUACUAUUUUUUUGCAACUCAUGUAUUAUUUGCAAGUUAAAAAAAAUUACAACUUGCAAAUAAAUGUUAUCCAAGAAUGAAUAAAAUAUAUUGCUCAUUGAGCUUUCUUCUAUUUACUUGUGUUCAUAUUUUUACUUA